GCCAUCCUGAGAGGUAAUUCUCACAUGCACCUUGUUGUGCAGGCAGCAAGAGAAGAUGCAUCCUCAGGAAAUCACAAACCUCACAGGAAGUGUUAUUUUCCAUCAACGGUAACUGCCUGUGUGCAGUUCUGGGAGGACAGAGCUGAAACAAGACAAGAAGAAAAGCUGCAGAAGUAAAACUACCUCUAAAGCUCCUUUUAAACACACAGCACAGGAGGGAACAAAUGGACACUGAUUAUGAUGAAACCUUUUGCUUCCUGUAGUGUUUGGCAUUCCUUAAUAUGUCCUGAUAGCUUUGAUUUCCUCUCCUCCAUUGCAGCAUCAAAGAAUGCUGCACCAACACCAUGCUGUCCACGUCUGGAUGACACAGUGGAAAUGAGCUGAGUGCACAGUGAACUUUAUUGCUGCAGAGAACCUGCCAGAACUCAUCACACCUUGUAGCUGACACCUUCCUGUGCCAGGCUCAGGCAAAGGACAAGAACGGAGAUCUUCAAACAUGUCUGGUCUUCUCUCUUUGUUUCCUUGAACCUUUCAACAGUUCCAGCCUGACCACACUUGUGUUGUACUAUGGAGUGCCUAGAAAAUAUAGAUGCCCUAAGCCCUCAGUCAGGUUCCC